AAUAGGUACGUCAGUAAACUCAGCUCUAUUGUAUUUCACCACGGGGAAAAUAUUAUAAAGAUGCAGCAGGAGACAAGGUACUUUACUAGAGCAACAUGGCCAUGUGGAAUUGCAUGUCUCCAGGGUCCUGGGCUAGCAUCAUUAGAACCAAAUUGCAGCAAGGCUUGUGUGCUGGUGAAGGGAUAGUGCAGUUUUUACCACUCUGCAUUGUGGAUGGCAUCCCAGAGGGUGAGUCAGGCUUCUUGGAGCUAUUCCAACUCCUACCUUGUCCCUCUGUGGCUGUGCCACCGCUGGAGAAGUGAGAGAAUGAAGGGAAAAAAGUAUAUAAAACCAAGUCACUGUCCCUCAUAUGACCCCUGCUGGACUCACGCAAAAUAAGCAUUAAAUGCUUAACAGUAUGGGACUGCCCUUUCUAAUGGUGUUCUUUAAUUUGCUGCUGUUUUACCAAGAUAUUUAGAAAAGCCCACAAAGAGUAGAAGAGAUAUUUUUGCAGAGGGACACCUGGAGGGAUCUCACUGGAGUAGGUACAUUUUUUUAAUGGCUGUGCCAGCACAGGUGAUCCCCACAUGGUUGUCUGAUCUAAAGGAGGAAGUGGAAAACAAGGCACAGAGGCUGGCCUAACUCUAUCGGCUGACAAGUUGGGAAAUGCAGAGUGACACUGGGUUCAAGACAAUCCAGUGCAACAGCAAUGUGGGAAAGGGGACAGCAUAUUGAGCAAAUUAAAGCCGUCAUGAAGCAAAGGAAUAAGAACAUUCCACAGAGGACAACAUGUACAAGCAGUUUAGUUACGUUUUCCUACAGUCCUCCUUCCCUGGUGCACUCACGUGAGUGUAGUUUGUUCUCAAACAGAGAAGAAGUGAUUUCACCAGCUCCUGUGGGAAAAAUUCCAACCUCAAGCCAACUUGUGCAUCUUUGCUGGAGCUGUGUGGUCUGAAUUAGGGGUGGCAGAAGAAGCAGUCUCCCCUUCCUGUAAGCAAAAGACGAAUGAGUGUGGUACCAGAUGAAAGGCAGUGCUGAGACUAAUGCAAUUAGUUUAUAGGGGAACCUCCACCCAAAUCAGUUUUAUUUGUCUCCCAGCUACAAAUGAAAUUCAUUUAUUUUGGACUUCCCGACAGAUUCAAAUGUGUCAAAACAUGAGGGUCAUGAAGGUGGUUGUUCUGCAUCGACAAAUGUGUUUGUAGUGGCACACUGGUUUAAAUCAACAGAUUUCAAACAGAUUUUGUAUUGAAGUUUAGGACAGAGUUGAACCUAAUUUUCAUGAAGAGAGUUGUGGUGUGUGAACAGAUUUAUAUGGCUGGUCAGUAGCUAGAAGCAAAGCCAUUAAUGUUUGAACAUCUCUGGAUGUUAUCUGGGAAACUGAAAAAGCAAUUAAAUGUUUGGAGAGACAUUAAAGGGGAGAAAAUAAAAUCAAAUACAAAACAAAGGCUGUGGGAAUUGAGUGAUAUGAGGAAAGAAGACUGGAGAGAUGUUUGAAGAGGAAGCUGUGAUAGAAUGGAAUAAUACUGAUUAGAGGACAGGACAAUGGAAGUGAAUAAAGUUAAAAUCAGACAAAGAACUCCAAACUCAUCCUCUUUAAAGCAGUUUCUUUCCUAGGUCCUAGGGUGCAGGUGCCAGGCCUUUUUCCUGUAUUGACAAGAAAUUCAUUAAUAUAAAUUGGGAUGAGAUAAAGAUAUGCUAAUUAAAUGAGAGCCUUGAGUCAUCUGAAGUGUGAAGUUUGCUCUACAGCUCUUUGUCAUUUUUCAGGUAAGAAUCUUAUAUUCUCUUGCAAAGGUCAGCUACCAGAAAGAUGGUGCUUAGAGAAACAUUAGGAUGUUUAAAUAGGUUAUCUGUGAAAAUGAUAACAUCAUUUAUAAGGACAAGAAGUAAAGCUGGAUGUAUUGUUGGGUUUUGCACAUCAAAUGCAAAUUGGACAUUGGUAUCAGAUAAAAUUUCUCGUAUAUAUCGAUUAACUGCAAGAUGAAAGAGAAGCAUAAGACUUACAUUGAGUUGGAUACACCUUUUCAUAAGUGGUGUUUCUGUAAUGGCUAGUGGCCGUAAAUUCAUAUAUCUGUAUUUCGUUUAUUUGUGUUUGAAUGUGUAUGUAAGUACAGCUUGUUUUAUAGAUGGAUACUGCUAAAUGCUGUUAUAUUUUUGGGUUCCAGUAAAGUGAAAAAGCUAGAGCUCUAAGAGCAACUUAAAAUAAAUUUUUCUUUGGGGACACUAAUUAUAGAGAUUUGUGAUGUAUACGAUUUAUAGAAGUGCUUUAACUACGCUGUCCAUGGAAAUUUGUACUUACAGCACAGAAUUAGUACUUAAAGUCUUGAAUACCAUACUCAUAUUUUUUACUUUCAAAGCAUUUUUUUUUUUAAUGAAAUCUCUUAAAACGUAAUACAACUGAUGAACUCAUUGUAGCAACUUUACUUAGUCUCCAUCAUGUACAUAAAUGCUUUUACAUUUAGAGUUGUUUUAUACUGGGAUGUUAUGAUACAUUACAUUCAGCUAUCUAGGUCAAAUCAUAUUAGUUAUUUAUAUUUAAUAAGUCUAAAAAGAGUUUGAGUGUUUGGUGUGUACAUUUUUCCCCAGAUAACAAGCAGGAUGGCAAUGCAGUUAUCCAAUGGGUCUGUUGGUUGUCAUGGCACUUGGUACAAAGAAGUGGAGCUGUCCCAGCCCCACGCUAGGGGAAUUCAAAAUGAAAAUAAGGACAAUUAGCAUGAUCCUACAGGAUUUCCUUUUCUCCAGCUGCAUUUGCAAAUAAGUAUUUACAUUUAUGGGAUGGAAUUCAGUGACAAGAAUAAUCUGAAAUUAAAUUAUGAGAUAGAGUGCUUGGAACAGUCAGCUGUAGAAAGGAAGCAGAGUAAGAGAGAACAAUCUAUCCAGGACGCUGCCAGGCCAGGCUGCAGAGAAGUGACAAUCUAUAUUCAUUAAAGAUAUUUAAUAAUUUUCUAAAAAAAUAAAUGUAAAAAAUAUCUCAAGUCAGGAAAUAUGAACCUUAUAUUGAUUAAGCAUUUGAAAAGGGAUUUUUCUCAAUAAAGGAAACCAUAUUUUCUACUCA